rnacentral:rRNA from 1 species
GCGGCAGCCUAACACAUGCAAGUCUGAACGGUAACAGGAAGCAGCUUGCUGCUUCGCUGACGAGUGGCGGACGGGUGAGUAAUGUCUGGGAAACUGCCUGAUGGAGGGGGAUAACUACUGGAAACGGUGGCUAAUACCGCAUAACGUCGCAAGACCAAAGAGGGGGACCUUCGGGCCUCUUGCCAUCAGAUGUGCCCAGAUGGGAUUAGCUUGUUGGUGAGGUAACGGCUCACCAAGGCGACGAUCCCUAGCUGGUCUGAGAGGAUGACCAGCCACACUGGAACUGAGACACGGUCCAGACUCCUACGGGAGGCAGCAGUGGGGAAUAUUGCACAAUGGGCGCAAGCCUGAUGCAGCCAUGCCGCGUGUAUGAAGAAGGCCUUCGGGUUGUAAAGUACUUUCAGCGGGGAGGAAGGUGUUGUGGUUAAUAACCGCAGCAAUUGACGUUACCCGCAGAAGAAGCACCGGCUAACUCCGUGCCAGCAGCCGCGGUAAUACGGAGGGUGCAAGCGUUAAUCGGAAUUACUGGGCGUAAAGCGCACGCAGGCGGUCUGUCAAGUCGGAUGUGAAAUCCCCGGGCUCAACCUGGGAACUGCAUUCGAAACUGGCAGGCUUGAGUCUUGUAGAGGGGGGUAGAAUUCCAGGUGUAGCGGUGAAUUUUUAAAAAUAUAAAAAAAAAAAAAAUUCUUUUUUUUGGG